rnacentral:lncRNA from 1 species
ACUAAUAAACUUUCUUCAAAUCUUGGUACAUUUUGGUGGCUCCGGGGUGAACGCUGUAUCUUGCAUUAUGAGCCUCUCUCAUAAUGUCUCCCUUUAGCCCUAUGUCAUCUGGUACACACAAUCGACUCCCAUAGCGGAGGAUCCCCUUGUUGUCGAAUCUGAACUCACUAUCCUUGCCUGACUGAACAGUCCUGGCAAUCUUCACUAACUCUGGGUCCUCAUGCUGUUUCUGAGCCACCUGCUCCAGAAACACGGGUGCCACUCUCAUCUGGGCAACUAAAGCACCUGUACCAGACAACUCCAACUGUAGACCUUCAUCAAUGAGCUUGUAAAACUCCUUCACCA